UACGAAGGGGGCUAGCGUUGUUCGGAUUUACUGGGCGUAAAGCGCACGUAGGCGGGUCGUUAAGUCGAGGGUGAAAUCCUGGAGCUCAACUCCAGAACUGCCUUCGAUACUGGCGACCUAGAGUCCGGAAGAGGUGAGUGGAACUGCGAGUGUAGAGGUGAAAUUCGUAGAUAUUCGCAAGAACACCAGUGGCGAAGGCGGCUCACUGGCCCGAUACUGACGCUGAGGCACGAAAGCGUGGGGAGCAAACAGG
rnacentral:rRNA from 1 species